rnacentral:rRNA from 1 species
GAUCCUGACUCAGGACGAACGCUGGCGGCGUGCUUAACACAUGCAAGUCGAACGAAGAGCGAUGGAAGCUUGCUUCUAUCAAUCUUAGUGGCGAACGGGUGAGUAACGCGUAAUCAACCUGCCCUUCAGAGGGGGACAACAGUUGGAAACGACUGCUAAUACCGCAUACGAUUUAAUCUUGGCAUCGAGGAUAGAUGAAAGGUGGCCUCUACAUGUAAGCUAUCACUGAAGGAGGGG